rnacentral:rRNA from 1 species
CCUACGGGGGGCUGCAGUGGGGAAUAUUGGACAAUGGGGGGAACCCUGAUCCAGCCAUGCCGCGUGUGUGAAGAAGGCCCUCGGGUUGUAAAGCACUUUCAGUGAGGAAGAACGCCUGGUGGUUAAUACCCAUCAGGAAAGACAUCACUCACAGAAGAAGCACCGGCUAACUCCGUGCCAGCAGCCGCGGUAAUACGGAGGGUGCGAGCGUUAGUCGGAAUUACUGGGCGUAAAGCGCGCGUAGGUGGCUUGAUAAGCCGGUUGUGAAAGCCCCGGGCUCAACCUGGGAACGGCAUCCGGAACUGUCAAGCUAGAGUGCAGGAGAGGAAGGUAGAAUUCCCGGUGUAGCGGUGAAAUGCGUAGAGAUCGGGAGGAAUACCAGUGGCGAAGGCGGCCUUCUGGACUGACACUGACACUGAGGUGCGAAAGCGUGGGUAGCAAACAGGAUUAGAUACCCUUGUAGUC